ACGGAGCGCGUGAUGGUCUGCUUGGCCAUGUUGUAGUGGUUAAUGAGGGUAAAGAGACGCCCACGGCCCCCAGGUCCCUGAGGGGGGUAGUUGUCGUACAUGCCAGCAGGCAUGCAGCGCCCUUGCUGUUCAAAGGACAAAAGAUAUCUUCUAGGAACUGAGCAGAAAUACAAUGACAGAAAACUACAAUCAAACUCUAAUGCUGAAGGGAACAUCAAGGAAACACCUGUUAAGAUCCCCCAACAAAAGACAUCAGUGAAAAACCACCACCUCCACCAUCAUCAUCAUCACCAUCAUCGCCAUCACCAUCAUGUAUGAUGCCCGUAAAGCUAACACAGGUGCUGUGAUGCGCACUGUGGCCCACGGAGAAGCCCGUUACCAAACAAAAAGGCGCAGGAGGAAGACGCGCAGCAGCAGAGAUUUGACAUCAUAACACAAAAGCAUAUGUAUCAUCACGGUGAGAAAAGGUUUUACUGCAGUCCAGCUUUUC